GCGCCUUAUGCAUGCAAGUCGAGCGAAGCUUUUCAGUAGUUUACUACAGAAAAUGACUGAGCGGCGAACGGGUGAGUAACGCGUGAGCAACCUACCUUAGUUACUGGGAUAGCCCGAGGAAACUCGGAUUAAUACCGGAUAUACUUAUUUAAUCACAUGAUUUUUUAAGGAAAGGUCAGCCGAACUAAGAUGGGCUCGCGUUCUAUCAGCUAGUUGGUAGGGUAAUGGCCUACCAAGGCUACGACGGAUAGCUGGUCUGAGAGGACGAUCAGCCACACUGGGACUGAGACACGGCCCAGACUCCUACGGGAGGCUGCAGCAGGGAAUAUUGCGCAAUGAGCGAAAGCUUGACGCAGCGACACCGCGUGUGGGAUGACGGAUCUAGGUUUGUAAACCACUUUCAGGAGGGAAGAAAAUGACGGUACCUCCACAAGAAGCCCCGGC
rnacentral:rRNA from 1 species